UAUAUCACUGUAAACAUAACUAUGUAAUUUCAAUAAUAUUAAUAAUACGCAAUGAAAGCACUUGUACUGAUUAUAGACACUUAAUAGCGCGUUUUUAAAUUUCACAAGAUUGCGACCCCCCCGCCCUUUGCCUCACAAUGGUUUGAUCCACUGCCAGUUCUUUAGCUGGCAAGGUAAUAGAGGGCUCGUAUCUACUGUCCGAAAGGCACUCAAUGUACGUAACUGACGUGAGGCAGAGCAGGCAACAGAUGGCACACAGACAGCAGAGCUGGGGACAGAUAUGCAGGGACAGACUGGCAGAGACAGGGAGUCUCAGGAGACAGACUGUGAGUCAGUGAGGGUGGUGAAAGGGAAAGAGCCAAGGAGAGAGACUUGAGGACAGUGUCACAG